UACAGAGGGUGCAAGCGUUGUUCGGAAUUACUGGGCGUAAAGCGCGUGUAGGCGGUUUAGUAAGUCGGUUGUGAAAUCCCUUGGCUUAACCAAGGAACUGCAUCCGAAACUGUUAGACUAGAGUAUCGGAGGGGGUGGCGGAAUUCCCGGUGUAGAGGUGAAAUUCGUAGAUAUCGGGAGGAACACCUGUGGCGAAGGCGGCCACCUGGAAGAUUACUGACGCUGAGACGCGAAAGCGUGGGGAGCAAAC
rnacentral:rRNA from 1 species